rnacentral:rRNA from 1 species
UCUAGAUUUUAGCAUGGAAUAAUAAAAUAGGGACUUUGGUUUUAUUUUGUUGGUUUUAAGACGCGAAGUAAUGAUUAAUAGGGUCAGUUGGGGACAUUAGUAUUUAUUCGUCAGAGGUGAAAUUCUUGGAUUGAAUAAAGACUAACUUCUGCGAAAGCAUUUGUCAAGGAUGUUUUCAUUAAUCAAGAACGAAAGUUAGGGGAUCGAAGACGAUCAGAUACCGUCGUAGUCUUAACCAUAAACUAUGCCGACUAGGGAUCAGACAAUGUUCAAUUAUGACUUGUUUGGCACCUUAUGAGAAAUCAAAGUUUUUAGGUUCCGGGGGGAGUAUGGUCGCAAGGCUGAAACUUAAAGGAAUUGACGGAAGGGCACCACCAGGAGUGGAGCCUGCGGCUUAAUUUGACUCAACACGGGGAAACUCACCAGGUCCAGAAUCGGAUCCC